CUUAUAUUCUUUUAAGGACCUCUUCAGUUUUCAGUUGCUACAUUUUAAUGAUUCAUUUAUCUGAAACAUAUUUAAGUGAAAAGAGUGAGAUCAAAUCUAGUCUUAUUUUUUUUUUUUCUAAAUUGUCAAAUAAUUGUCCCCAAGAUAUUUGGUGAUGCGUUUGUAAUAGUGGUGGGUGUGGAGUCAUUUGAGGGGCCUUUAGCCUGAGACCUUGAGUGGAGCAGUUAGGUGCCCUGUUCCGUGAGCAGUCAGCUUGCAGUGGUCCUCGCCAUGAAAGACAGUGCAAAGUGUGAGAAGUGGAUCGGGGCUGGCAAAGGCAGCUCAAGCAUCUCAUCCGACGUGAGUUCAAGUACAGAUCACACGCCGACCCAAGCCCAGAAGAAUGUGGCUACCAGCGAAGGUAGGCAUCUGGUCUUCAUUAUCUCCUAUGCUCUCGUCACAGUGCUGGCUGUAUUUGGAAGACACAUAAAAUGUUUGAGUCUCAGAUCUGUUCUGCCGAGUGGGAGCAUACGAGAUUCUCAAAAAUGGGAAGGCCAAGGUUUUCUCUUUUAUUGCAUUGCUGUCAAUGUCUACUAAAGUUGUUUUGGUGCAGUUUAAGGUAAAUGCUGUCAUUUUAUCAAAGUAUAAUAGGAUGACUUUUGGGAAUGUUUGUGAAUGAUGUCUUGUUUUUCAGUAUGGCAAACAUUAUGAUUGUAAAAUCCUUGUGCUCGAGUUGAAAGUUCCGGCAAGAACUUUUGAAAUAGGCACACCUGGAAUUCGUGAUUUUGAUAAUGGGAAGGUCAUAGUUGUGUGAUUUGUAGAACCUGAACCAGUCCCCAAUAUUGGGGAGUAGGAGAAGAGGUUUGUUUGAUUCUUUAAAAAAUUAAGUGAGAAUUCCUGCUUGUCAGAACGAAGAUGGAUUGCAUUGGUGUUCUUGAUGAAGAAUUUGACUAUAUGUAGUAACACGUGGUGGAAUUUAACUGUUUCCCAGUAGUUGAGAAGCUUUUCAGUUAUACUUAGUUGUUUGAGUGUGGAAAUAAUUGGUUCUGUAGUAGUUAUUUGGUAAAAAGUUGACCCAAUUAUGGACUCAGCUCCUUUUAUGUUAAUAUGAAACACACAAUUAAAUGACUUCUUUUUUGAAGAAGAAUUCUUUCUAAAUGAAUGGUUGAAUGAAGGUCUGUGUAACGAAAGACUUGUGGGGUGUCAGCUGAUUCCUCAUGACACUAUAGAGAGCCUGUGGAAAUGCAUUUCCAGUCCUUGUUUCAGAAGCUUAGCUUCUGCUGUUUAUAAUAUCAGAAAGUGUACGCAUAGCCUGGUGUUGGUCAUUUAAGCUCUUAGAUUGUUCUUGGUCUGCACUACACGUUUUACAUUAAUG
ensembl:lincRNA